UCUUAUCCUUUUUUUUCCCAAAUAUUGCAGCUUUCUUGGGAGAGGUUCAACCAAACUGCAGGAACAGUGAAAAUAUUACUCUAACGUUGUUCAGAACAGAGCUUCAACGGUUUUAAUGUUGUGUUUUAAAGUUACAAGUAUUAUAUAUUCGUUACGUGUGGUUAUGUAAUUUGCUGAUAAACAAGUACAUUGAGUGAGGUAUAUGUGUGUGCCUGUGUGGUCAUUACUGAAUUUCUCAGUAAUAUAAUUUGCAUUGACUGCAGAUUUGUGAAGAACAUUGAUGUGUUGUGUAAUGGGAACGGUGGUGUCUGUAUUUUGUGCUUUGUGAUUGACGACUUACAUUUGCCCAGGAAGAAAUGAAAACAAAUCGGCUUCUUGAAAUUAACCA
rnacentral:lncRNA from 1 species